rnacentral:rRNA from 1 species
CGUGUAGGCGGGAAGUAAAGUCAGAUGUGAAAUCCCUGGGCUCAACCCAGGAACUGCAUUUGAAACUCACUUUCUUGAGUACCGGAGAGGAAGGUGGAAUACCUGGUGUAGAGGUGAAAUUCGUAGAUAUCAGGUGGAACACCAGUGGCGAAGGCGGCCUUCUGGACGGUAACUGACGCUGAGACGCGAAAGCGUGGGGAGCAAACA